GCUGUCCUGGGUUGUAUAAGAAGCAGUGUGAGCAAACCUUGGAGAACAGACCCAUAAGAGGCACUACAACCUCCCCUCAGAUCCUGCCUCCAAGCUCCUACCUUGAGUUCCUGCCUUGACUUCCCUCAGUGUUGUGCUGUGACCUGGAUUGUGUAGUAACCCCUGUCCUUCCCAAGCUGGCUUCAGUCAGUGUUUUACCACAGGCUGCUUGGUUUUAGGCUCUGCCCUUCUGCCUUUUGCCUCUUCUAUUUUUCACUCACAGAGCCCUGUUGGAUCAGAGUAAGGUACACACCACAAUAUUCUUCUGUUUGGAGUAAUAGGAUCUUCCUAGCUAGGGCUUAUUCAAGAGUGGAUUGAGGCCUGGGAGGACUCCGUAGAUCAGGCCAUUAGGUUGGGUCUUCAGCACAGAGCCCAUAGACAGAAAGCCGAAGCUCUCUCAUCGGUCCCUUGUUUAAUGUGUUAGACUGGCUUUUUUCCAGGGGCACUCGGAAUCCUGACUGCAUAUUCCAGGCGAGUCCACCUGAACACUUCUCAUCUGAGAGAGAGUCUAUUGUUUGCACAGCACUUUCACUGUCAUCAGCUCCUUGAUGUAUUUGCGGGCGCAGUCUGGGCAGAAUGGUGUGAUUAUUAUUCUCUGUUUCACGUGGAGGAGCCCGAGGGCGGAGGUGAGCAGCUGAGGUGGUAUAGCUCAUCCUGGGAUGAACGGGGUCUGGAGACCCGUCUGCCUCACCCUGUCUUUCUGCAGGUUCUUGAACUCCGACAAUCUUACCCCCAGGGUCCCUUGGUGCAGCUUGGGAGCUGGCUUGCUGGUUUUCAGGAAGAGAAGGUUGUGAGCACAUCUGGAGACUGUCCACUGAGUGGUGCUGUGGAGAUUGGAUGAUCGUCUCUGGGGAGGUGGUCACUUGCCUCUGAAGUUCCUGACCUUGGCAGUAAGAGCAGAGGCCUGAGGCUGGCGGAAGGCGUUGUGUGGAGUCAGCAUGGGUAAGGCACAGUAGAAAGAGCAGUCUCAGACCCUUGUGGAGGGCAGGCGGCGCUGUCCUAGACUUUGGGUUUGGGGACUCAUUGUUUCCCAUUAACCCCGAGUGUCCUUGGCACAGGUCUAGACAACAAGGGGGCACAGCAAGGAGGAGAAAACACAAAUCAAGAAGUAACACUUUUUUUUUGAAGGAGAAAUUAUAAAUUGCAAUUUAAUCACAUAAUCACUUUGACACUCUCAAGCAAGCUAAUUUCUUCCCUUGCCUCAUUUCAUCCACUCGGUGAGAUGAAUCUUAAUGAAUAAUGUCCUAUGAAUAUUUAAUUUUUGAUCAAUUUGAAUUUUCUCUGGCAUACCUGCUGGAGAUAUAAAUCAGUUCCUCUUCUAUUCAGCAGAGAGAAUUUGGACAGCAGCCUGGGUGGAUCUCUGCCCAGGGCCACAGAAACGACCAGUGGCGGCUCUGAGGUUCUCAUGAGCGCAUCUCACUCUGUGACCUGGACUCUCUAGAUAGGGUCUGUAAGCUGCAUUUUCUAAUCCCAGUCUGCCAGCAGAGGCCUGAAGCCAGUGGCUGGCUAUGAGAGAUGUCUGCAAUACCUUUCCACAGAGUGUCAUAAGUUUGAACCACAGGACUCUGCAGAAACAUCCAGGUAGCUAUGAAGGAACCGAAGAACGUGGGAACUGAUGCUUCGAGACACAUAUUCUCCUUAACGUGGCUCGAUGGGGAGUCGGAUGAGUUCUUGUUGUCCAUGGCCUAGCAAGUUUGUGCAGUUGCACUUGGAAGUCUUCUGUGCCUUGCCGAGGUAUCAGCACAUCCACAGAGGCCUGGGGUGACAAUGUAGAGCUCACAGGUCAGGAGACUUUGUGACUGGAGCAACAGGGCUGGAAUUGCAGCCUUUAGCUGUGGAUGCUGCUGUGCUAUCUUGAAAAGUCAGUGUUACCUGUGGGAAAGUCUAGGGACCAGGCUGGAUGAAUAAUCCAGAAUAGAAUAUAGAAGUCCAGAGUAUAGGGCAUAGAAUAAUCAACAGGGCUCAGAGCUUAAUUCUUCCCUGCAGACAUCGCCAGGUUAAGGAAGCUCCCCAUUAUCAGUCACCAUUAAGGAAGAGUCCGAGUGAUGGUGAAGGGCCCAGGAUAGAAUUUGGAAGUCUAAACAGUGCACACAGACAGAACCGUCGAGAAGUUGUGCAUGCCCAUGUUAGUGACUUCAAGGUUUUAAGUUCAUGUCUUAAGCUAGGUGUGGUGACUCCUCCCUAGGAUUUCAGCACUCAUGAGGCUGAGACGAGAGGAUUGCUUCAUGUCUGAGGCUAGCCUGGGCUACAUACUGAGUUGUAGACUAGCCUGGGAUGCAAGAGGUUUUUUCUCAAAUAUAACAUACAAACAAUCCAUUUUUCUCAUAACUCAAGUUUCUCGGUGCUGAUUUUGAGAUGCGGAUUUGUUAAAAUGUUUCUGUGGUACAAUAUCAGGGGAUCAAGGAUAAAGAAAAAACAAACAAACAAAACAAAAUAAAACAAAACAACAACAACAACAAAGUAAGGCAGGGCAGGAGAGAAAGGAGCCACAGCCUCCUGAGAAUACUCACUGAGCUGUCCAGCCACGUGGCACUUCUUCCAGAUAGGCCCUGAGAAAACAUCAUACUUCAAUCUCUCCCCCAUCUCUCCCUCUCUUUUUCUCUUUUCUUGUCUUUUAAUGAUCAAUAUUUACCCAGGGUGAGUUAACCUGACUGAACCAUGUACUCACGUGGUCCCUUUAGGAAGACCAAAGGUGUUGGGGACCUCAGGUCUCUGUCAUGGCUCCUGUGACAGCUCACAAGUGCUUUCAGACUCUGCUUUCCAAGAAGUGGUGUUCAGUGCCCCACACCUGAGUAGACAGGCCUCAGUGACUUCCAACAGUAAAGUGACAGCGACAGUCUGUAAUUUCAGAAAUUAGGUCACAGAGGACACUGCGUUCACCUUCCUUUCUAUCCUUACAUUGCCUGCUCUGGAAGAAGCCAGCUUCUGUGUUGUGAGGAAGUAACCAAUGGUCAGGUCCACAUGUCGAGGAGCAAAGUUCCCGGGAACCGCUGAGUCAGCCACCAUGGAGUGGGUUGUCUUCCCAUCGGGUCUCAGGUGACUUGUAAUUCCUGUCAAUGUUUGCACAGUUGUCUCCAGAGAGAACCCUGCAUCAGAGAACCCAGCUUUGCUGCCCCCAGAUUCUUGUCUUUCAUAUUACUUAGAAACCUGAAAGCACAGAAGACAAAGAGAGGGCCUUGGAAGUCACCAGAGAGAACAGAUUGCGCACACAGCAAUGAGAAUUCUAGCACCAGCUCCUUUUUCAACAGAGACAGUGGAAGUCAAGGAAACUAUGGAUUGGCAGCUUCAUACCCCGGUGUAAAAGGACGAUCAAGUCAAACUCUGACUCCCCCGCCCCCAGGGUGCCGGUAAAAUAAGACAACGAAAAAUGUUUUAAAAUAUUAAACAACUGGCUACUAAGAACUACCAAAGGAAUUUAUUAAGAUGCACACCAGGAAGGAAGAAAAUAUUCCCAGGAGAUUUAAAAUUACAAAAUAAACAACGAAGAGAGCAAAUGACAGGUAUAUAAAUACUGGUUAUCUAAAAUGAUGGUCCCCAUUGUCUUCGUGGACCACCAACGCCUAAUGUAGCAUACCCACUGGAUGGAAGCUUUGGGACAGAGGAGAGCCGUGGGAAGACCAUGGAAGCUCAGUUUUGUUCUGAACCUGAAACUGCUCUAAAACGUCUAUUUAUCAGCAACAGCCAGCCAAGAUGCAAGCAUAACACAGCAAAACAAAAGGAUACUAACCUUGGCAGCUAAUCUUCCUUGUCAACUCCAUGGGACCAGAGUCACAAUGAAAACAACUCUCUGGGCAUGUUCAUGAGAGACUGUCUGGAUUAAGUUACUUGAGAUGGUGAGACCCUCGGACUGAAUAAAAAGAAUCAAACAAACAGAGCACACGUAUUCAUUGCUUCUUGACUGGGUGUAGAAUGACCAGAUGCAUGCCUUCUCUGCGUGAUGGACUGUAUCCCUAGGAACUGUGAGCUCUGCAGAGUAAACCCUGCAUUCCUUAAGCUGCUUUUGUCAGGUGUUUUAUUGCAAGGAGACAAGUCCCUAAUAUACUAACCCAGAGGCUCUCAACCUUCCUAAUGCUGCGGUCCUUUAAUGCAGUUCCUCAUGUUGAAGUGAUGUCCAGCUACAAAAUGAUUUUCAUCGCUCCUUCAUAACCCUAAUUUUGCUUCUGUUAUAAAUUGUAAUGUGGAUAUUUGACAUGUGUGACCCCUGUCAUAGGGUCAUUUGACACCUCCAAAUGGGUUGUGACCCAUAGGCUGAGAACCACUUCACUGGCCUGUCUAGGUUGCUGGUUCUCUUUAGGAGUAAGGUAGGUGGGAAACAGGUAUUAUACUGUUUCACUAUUUCAGGGCCAGUGAAAGUCUGCUGACCAUUACAAGUUAACAGUGGCCUGGUUUUCUGCAGCAAAGGGAAGGAAGACAGAGCAUGUUCAGGGCAGAGCUGUGAACCCAGAGGGUUCAAAGAACAGCAAGAACCCUUCACAGAACACCAGAGGAUUGCCUUUCUUAUGUCAGUGCCUAUGGGCUGGAUGCACUGAGUGCUGACCACAUUAAGGCUUAUAGUAAAAACGUUUACCACACAGAAUGGAGGCAGAUGGUGGGAGGCCUGGAGGCCUCGUUAUGCCAGGUAGUAACCCUUUAGCUGCUUGGUUAUAGACAAUCUGGACAGUUCUGGGUUGGAGGGUGGGGCUCACUGGUGUGCUGCUUGAGCAGGGGCACUCACACAUACACCCUAGAUCGCUGGGUCUUGUA
rnacentral:sRNA from 1 species